CGACCGGGGUGACCCGACUCGUGCGAGCAGAAGUCAGCAGAGGUCGUAGUACCGCACUUCUUCGCAGCCAGCGGAGACGGGAAGGAC
rnacentral:ncRNA from 1 species